AUACGUAGGUGACAAGCGUUAUCCGGAUUUACUGGGCGUAAAGGGCGUGUAGGCGGUCUUGCAAGUCAGAAGUGAAAUUCCUGAGCUCAACUCGGGCGCUGCUUCUGAAACUGCAGGACUUGAGUGCUGGAGGGGAUAGCGGAAUUCCUAGUGGAGCGGUAAAAUGCGCAGAUAUUAGGAAGAACACCGGUGGCGAAGGCGGCUAUCUGGACAGAAACUGACGCUGGUGCGCGAAAGCUUGGGGAGCAAACAGGAUUAGAUGCCCUGGUAGUCCACGCCGUAAACGAUGAAUACUAGGUGUAGGGGGUAUCGACUCCCUCUGUGCCGCAGUUAACACAAUAAGUAUUCCGCCUGGGGAGUACGGCCGCAAGGUUGAAACUUAAAGGAAUUGACGGGG
rnacentral:rRNA from 1 species